AGAGUUUGAUCCUGGCUCAGGACGAACGCUGGCGGCGUGCCUAACACAUGCAAGUCGAACGAGAAUCUUUGAACAGAUCUUUUCGGAGUGACGUUCAAAGAGGAAAGUGGCGGACGGGCGAGUAACGCGUGAGUAACCUGCCCAUAAGAGGGGGAUAAUCCAUGGAAACGUGGACUAAUACCGCAUAUUGUAGUUAAGUUGCAUGACUUGAUUAUGAAAGAUUUAUCGCUUAUGGAUGGACUCGCGUCAGAUUAGAUAGUUGGUGAGGUAACGGCUCACCAAGUCAACGAUCUGUAGCCGAACUGAGAGGUUGAUCGGCCGCAUUGGGACUGAGACACGGCCCAGACUCCUACGGGAGGCAGCAGUGGGGAAUAUUGCGCAAUGGGGGCGACCCUGACGCAGCAACGCCGCGUGCAGGAAGAAGGUCUUCGGAUUGUAAACUGUUGUCGCAAGGGAAGAAGACAGUGACGGUACCUUGUGAGAAAGUCACGGCUAACUACGUGCCAGCAGCCGCGGU
rnacentral:rRNA from 1 species